CCUGAUCAAUUGGGAAUGACUCUUGUGGAGUUUCUAUUGCCUCCAGUGGGAUAUCGACAGGAGUUGAUAGCUUUGAAGCCCGCUUCAGUUUGUAUUUCACCAAUAAGACAAUCAUGAUGAUAAGCAAUACGCCGCCAGCCACUGUUGUCGCUAUGGUAAUAAUUCUACUAGAAUCAUCUGUUGUCCCCUCGACUGAAUCUUUAAAGAUAAGAAAAAUUUAUAGUUAUUUCUACCAACGAACAUUUUCAAAAUGUUAAGAGAAUAAAAUGAACGCGACAUGCUAACACACACAAAAUACCUUACAACAUGAUGCUGAUGAUGUUAUAGGAGCCUUGCAGCGACACUACCUACAUAGUCUAAGAGCUAACUCUGAAUUCAAAAUGUCCGCAUCAGAACGUAGUUGAAUUAAGAAUUCUGGAGUUAGAACUACCGAAAAGUCAUGUCGAGACAUGUACAAGUGCAACUAUCUACCACAGGCCGAUUGUGUAUAUAAGUAAGGCCCAUUGGGGAUGCAGCUAUAGGGGGAUCCAAAGCCAUGAUCCAUGUGAUGGAUCAACUUUCUGUUCUUCCGCGCGAUUCGGUAGUUGGUUUCGCCGGAAGUGUAUCAGUUAAAAAAAAAGCGAAACCUUUAGUCGAAGAAAGAAUUCUGAAGUUACAAGCCAACUACCGAAAAAUCAUGUCGACACAAGUGCAACUAUCUAAAUUGAUCUGAAACUGGAUUUAAUGGCCGCGCCUGCAUGAAGUAGCUCCACCACUGAGCUAUAAUAUAUCUGGAAGAAGUGCUCGGCAUCAAGAGGUGAAGCCAAAAACAUGGCGGAUUUUCACGUUUGCUGACGCCAGAACAGUGAACUAAAAAUACCGUUCGAACUGACCUGACCGCAUAGCUCAGCUGGCAGAGCAUUGGGCUAGUAUUCCAAAGGUCGUAGGUUCGAUUCCCACCAUGGCCAGGCAUUUUUCAAGCCUGCCCAGUGUGGAUAUACUCGGAAGUACACAAGCAUAACAUUCUUGUUGAUAUUUGAUGUUGGUAAUUGAUCAUGCAUUUUUGGAGGAAAAUAUUUUACACAGUGGUUGUUCGCCUGACACUGAACCCCAAUAUUUACAUACUACUUGUCUGAACUAUUUUCCCCAUUCUUUCAACAUGCUAAAAUGAUACAAAAUACAUUUCAGUUGAAUUCAAGCAAGUCCUUGGGGUCCUGUUGUCAACACUAUCACCUUGUUAGUA